rnacentral:rRNA from 1 species
GACUAAUUACCCGAGUAGUCCUGGCUGUAAACUCUGCGAGCUAGGUGUUGCGCAUUCUUCGAGAGUGUGCAGUAUCGUAGCGAAGGCGUUAAGCUCGCCGCCUGGGAAGUAUGGUCGCAAGACUGAAACUUAAAGGAAUUGGCGGGGAAGCACUACAAGGGGUGCGGCGUGCGGUUCAAUCGAAUUCAACACCGAAAAUCUCACCAGCAGCGACGGCAGAAUGAAGGUCAGAUUGAAGGUCUUACCUAACAAGCCGAGAGGUGGUGCAUGGCCGCCGUCAGCUCGUGCCGUAAGGUGUCCAUUUAAGUAUGGUAACGAGCGAGAUCUGUGCUCACUAUUGCUAACGAGUUCUUUAGAAUGAUCGAGCACAUUGUGAGGACUGCCUUGGAAACAAGGAGGAAGGUGCAGGCUACGGUAGGUCUGUAUGCCCCGAAUCUGCUGGGCUACACGCGCGCAACAAUGGUAGGAACAAUGGGAUACGACUCCGAAAGGAGAAGUUAAACCUCGAAAUCCUAUCCAAGUCCAAAUCGAGGAUUGUAACUCAUCCUCGUGACGCUGGAAUCCCUA